GUCUAUGGCCAUGCCACCCUGAACACGCCCAAUCCCGUCUGAUCUCGGAAGCUAAGCAGGGUCGAGCCUGGUUAGUACUUGGAUGGGAGACCACCUAGGAAGACCAGGUGCUGUAGGCA
rnacentral:rRNA from 1 species